rnacentral:tRNA from 1 species
CGGCGUGUAGCGCAGCUUGGUAGCGCACUACAAUGGGGUUGUAGGGGUCGAAGGUUCAAAUCCUUUCACGCCGACCA